rnacentral:rRNA from 1 species
GUGGGGAAUAUUGCGCAAUGGGGGAAACCCUGACGCAGCAAUACCGCGUGAGUGAAGAAGGAUUUCGGAUCGUAAAACUCUUUUAUUGGGGAAGAAGAAGUGACGGUACCCAAUGAAGAAGUCCCGGCUAACUACGUGCCAGCAGCCGCGGUAAUACGUAGGGGACAAGCGUUGUCCGGAAUCACUGGGCGUAAAGGGCGCGUAGGCGGUUUUAUAAGUCAGAUGUGAAAGGUACCGGCUCAACCGGUGACGUGCAUUUGAAACUGUAAGACUUGAGUACUGGAGAGGCAAGUGGAAUUCCUAGUGUAGCGGUGAAAUGCGUAGAUAUUAGGAGGAACACCGGUGGCGAAGGCGGCUUGCUGGACAGAUACUGACGCUGAGGUGCGAAAGCGUGGGGAGCAAACAGGAUUAGAUACCCGAGUAGUCC